rnacentral:rRNA from 1 species
GAUAAGGGCCAUACCACCCUGAACGUGCCCAGUCUCAUCUGAUCUCGGAAGCUACGCAGGGUUGGGCCUGGUUAGUACUUGGAUGGGAGACUCUUAAGCGUUUUUGAGUGUGGACCAUGUAACCCUCAAAC